AUUGAACGCUGGCGGCAGGCCUAACACAUGCGAGUCGAGCGGAUGAAGGGAGCUUGCUCCUGGAUUCAGCGGCGGACGGGUGAGUAAUGCCUAGGAAUCUGCCUGGUAGUGGGGGAUAACGUCCGGAAACGGGCGCUAAUACCGCAUAUGUCCUGAGGGAGAAAGUGGGGGAUCUUCGGACCUCACGCUAUCAGAUGAGCCUAGGUCGGAGUGGCUAGUUGGUGGGGUAAAGGCCUACCAAGGCGACGAUCCGUAACUGGUCUGAGAGGAUGAUCAGUCACACUGGAAGUGAGACGCGGUCCAGACGCCUGCGGGAGGGAGCGGUGGGGAAUAUUGGAGAAUGGGCGAAAGCCUGAUCCAGCCAUGCCGCGUGUGUGAAGAAGGUCUUCGGAUUGUAAAGCACUUUAAGUUGGGAGGAAGGGCAGUAAGUUAAUACCUUGCUGUUUUGACGUUACCAACAGAAUAAGCACCGGCUAACUUCGUG
rnacentral:rRNA from 1 species